CGGUGUCGGUGGUGGAAACAGUUUUUGGUGCUUGUAAAUCUGCUCAAGACUUGUAUAGAGCAUCACUUUUGAGUUGUGUACGGUGAUCUUUGUGAUAUCAAUCCAUUAAUAUAUGUUCUUUAAUUUUACACAUGAAUAUGUGGUGCAGCAGUUAUUUGUUUAAUCAUUUUCUGAGACUAAUUCAUGCCUCAUCAACUGUUACAGGUGCUAGAUGUGUGGCUACUUUACUGCAUGAGAUGAAGCGUCGUGGCAGGGACUGUCGCUUCGGGGUGGUGUCAAUGUGCAUAGGCACAGGAAUGGGAGCUGCUGCUGUUUUUGAAAGGGGGGGAUGGCUGUGAUGAGCUAUGCAACGGCGGUCGGAAAGUCGAAAGCAACAAUCUCUUAUCCAGGGAUUCACUAUAGUCGUAUUUGAUGGGCACAUCGCAGAAGCUUCCAAUAAAUGCAGUUUGGAGUUAUUUUAUUAUUCAUAAUAAUAAAGUGUAACAAGGUGGCUCUAUAUUCAGUUAAACAAAUAGAACGCAGAAGGUGAUAAAUGUUAAUAUUUAAA